rnacentral:rRNA from 1 species
GUAGGGAGCAAGCGUUGUUCGGAUUUACUGGGCGUAAAGGGCGCGUAGGCGGCUUGACAAGUCACUUGUGAAAUCUCCGGGCUUAACUCGGAACGGCCAAGUGAAACUGUCAUGCUAGAGUGCAGAAGGGGCAAUCGGAAUUCUUGGUGUAGCGGUGAAAUGCGUAGAUAUCAAGAGGAACACCUGAGGUGAAGACGGGUUGCUGGGCUGACACUGACGCUGAGGCGCGAAAGCCAGGGGAGCAAACGGGAUUAGAUACCCCGGUAGUCCUGGCCCUAAACGAUGAAUACUUGGUGUCUGGAGUUAUUAGUGCUCCGGGUGCCGUCGCUAACGUUUUUAGUAUUCCGCCUGGGGAGUACGCUCGCAAGAGUG